AUUGCUUCUUGGCCUAAGAUCAAGUGUCGUAUCUGUUCUUAUCAGUUUAAUAUUUUUCAUAACUUUAAGGACUUUGCUAUUAUUAUCACUGGCAGUAAUAAACUUUAAAGCAGUACUAUCU
rnacentral:snRNA from 1 species